CCACAUCACGUUGAAACGCCGGUUUCCGUACGCUCACCGAAGUUAAGCAACGUUGAGCAUGGCCAGUACUUAGAUGGCUGACCACUUGGGAAUACCAGGUGUUGUAAG